rnacentral:rRNA from 1 species
GGGGAAUAUUGGACAAUGGGCGCAAGCCUGAUCCAGCCAUGCCGCGUGAGUGAUGACGGCCCUAGGGUUGUAAAGCUCUUUUACCUGGGAAGAUAAUGACGGUACCAGGGGAAUAAGCCCCGGCUAACUUCGUGCCAGCAGCCGCGGUAAUACGAAGGGGGCUAGCGUUGUUCGGAUUUACUGGGCGUAAAGCGCACGUAGGCGGACGCUUAAGUCAGGGGUGAAAUCCCGAGGCUCAACCUCGGAACUGCCUUUGAUACUGGGUGUCUUGAGUCCGGGAGAGGUGAGUGGAACUGCGAGUGUAGAGGUGAAAUUCGUAGAUAUUCGCAAGAACACCAGUGGCGAAGGCGGCUCACUGGCCCGGAACUGACGCUGAGGUGCGAAAGCGUGGGGAGCAAAC